AUGGAGUACUCGCCAAAGCUAGCGGCGGCACUGCUCUUAGCUCUCGCGUCCGCCAUGAUCGUCACCGCCCAGAACGGGGCCGAUGACAUGCUGAACGCCCACAAUGAAGUGCGCGCCGCCGUCGGUGUGGGGCCAGUGACGUGGGACCCCAUAGUGGCGGCGUACGCGCAGUCGUACGCGGAGAAGCGCCGCGCCGACUGCCAGCUACUACUCUCUCCGGAGGUGCGCCCAUACGGAGAGAACCUUUUUCGGGCCGCUGGGGCCGAAUGGAAUGCGGUGGACGCAGUGAUUUAUUGGGCGUCCGGGAAGCAGUACUACGACCACGCCACCAACACCUGCUCCGCACCUACGGGUGAGUCGUGCAUGGGAUACCUACAGUUGGUGUGGAGGGACACCAAGACCAUCGGCUGCGGCGCUGUCCUCUGUGACGGCAACGCUGGCGUGUUUGUCAUCUGCAGCUACAGCCCGCCCCCCGUGCUCGGGCAGAUUCCAUACUAG
rnacentral:rRNA from 1 species